rnacentral:rRNA from 1 species
UAGCCGUAAACGAUACUCGCUAGGUGUCGGCCACGGUGCGACCGUUGUCGGUGCCGUAGGGAAGCCGUGGAGCGAGCCACCUGGGAAGUACGGCCGCAAGGCUGAAACUUAAAGGAAUUGGCGGGGGAGCACAACAACGGGUGGAGCUUGCGGUUUAAUUGGAUUCAACGCCGGAAAUCUUACCGGGACCGACAGCAACAUGAAGGCCAAGCUGAAGACUUUGCCGGAUUAGCUGAGAGGAGGUGCAUGGCGUAGUCGUGU